GCUUGCUUGUUGGGGUUGUAGGACACUCUAUACGGAGUUACAAAGGACGACAUUAGACGAAUCAUCUGGAAAGAUGAAUCAAAGAAGGUAAUAAUCCUGUAGUCGAAAAUGUUGUCUCUCUUGAGUGGAUCCUGAGUACGACGGAGCACGUGAAAUUCCGUCGGAAUCUGGGAGGACCAUCUCCUAAGGCUAAAUACUCUCUAGUGACCGAUAGUGAACCAGUACCGUGAGGGAAAGGUGAAAAGCACCCCGGAAGGGGAGUGAAAUAGAACCUGAAACCGUGUGCUUACAAGUAGUCAGAGCCCGUUAAUGGGUGAUGGCGUGCCUUUUGUAGAAUGAACCGGCGAGUUACGAUUUGAUGCAAGGUUAAGCAGUAAAUGUGGAGCCGUAGCGAAAGCGAGUCUGAAUAGGGCGUUUAGUAUUUGGUCGUAGACCCGAAACCAGGUGAUCUACCCUUGGUCAGGUUGAAGUUCAGGUAACACUGAAUGGAGGACCGAACCGACUUACGUUGAAAAGUGAGCGGAUGAACUGAGGGUAGCGGAGAAAUUCCAAUCGAACCUGGAGAUAGCUGGUUCUCUCCGAAAUAGCUUUAGGGCUAGCCUCAAGUGAUGAUUAUUGGAGGUAGAGCACUGUUUGGACGAGGGGCCCCUCUCGGGUUACCGAAUUCAGACAAACUCCGAAUGCCAAUUAAUUUAACUUGGGAGUCAGAACAUGGGUGAUAAGGUCCGUGUUCGAAAGGGAAACAGCCCAGACCACCAGCUAAGGUCCCAAAAUAUAUGUUAAGUGGAAAAGGAUGUGGCGUUGCCCAGACAACUAGGAUGUUGGCUUAGAAGCAGCCAUCAUUUAAAGAGUGCGUAAUAGCUCACUAGUCGAGUGACACUGCGCCGAAAAUGUACCGGGGCUAAACAUAUUACCGAAGCUGUGGAUUGUCCUUUGGACAAUGGUAGGAGAGCGUUCUAAGGGCGUUGAAGCAUGAUCGUAAGGACAUGUGGAGCGCUUAGAAGUGAGAAUGCCGGUGUGAGUAGCGAAAGACGGGUGAGAAUCCCGUCCACCGAUUGACUAAGGUUUCCAGAGGAAGGCUCGUCCGCUCUGGGUUAGUCGGGUCCUAAGCUGAGGCCGACAGGCGUAGGCGAUGGAUAACAGGUUGAUAUUCCUGUACCACCUAUAAUCGUUUUAAUCGAUGGGGGGACGCAGUAGGAUAGGCGAAGCGUGCGAUUGGAUUGCACGUCUAAGCAGUAAGGCUGAGUAUUAGGCAAAUCCGGUACUCGUUAAGGC
rnacentral:rRNA from 1 species